rnacentral:rRNA from 1 species
AAAUCCGUGGGCGUCCGAAAUGUGAAAUACGAAGGCCGCGGGGAGAUAGUAUAAACCUUCUCCGCCACGAAAAACGCGGCAGGGAUAUAGGGCGAAGGUUAAUUUUUUCGGUGAGGAACACGGUACGGAUUGUAAAGGCUCCCGGCUAAAACUACCGUGGCCAGCAGGCGCGCGGUUAAUAUCGGGGGGGGAGCCUAUGCCAUGGAUCCGGGAUUUCACCUGGCCGUUAAAGGGCGGCUAGGGGCGGUCAGGCCACCAAGUCCACUAGUGAAUUCUACGAGGCUUAACCUCGGAAAGGUCCAACUGAUAACUGUGCGGACUAGAGUGCGGAAGGGGGCAACUCGGAAUUCUUGGUGUAGCGGUGAAAUGCGUAAGAUAUCAAGAGGAACACCUUGCGUCGAAGGCGGGUUGCUGGGCCGGACACUGACGCUGAGGCGCGAAAGCCAGGGGGAGCGAACGGGGAUUAGAUACCCCGGGUAGUCCUGGCCUUAAACCGAUGAAUGCUUGGUGUCUGGGGUUAUAUAGUCCCCGUUUGAUCCUGGCUCAGUCCCACCCACGAGAUCGUCGGCCCGCUGGUGCUUACGGGCGUGGUGAUCUCGGUCAUGGGCGCGCUGCUGGUGUCGAUCGAGACGAGCCUGAUCGUCGAUUUUCUGGCGGUCCCGGAACCCGUCGCCCGCGUGCUGCUGUGGCGGGUCUAGCUACUUGCCCUUGAGCAUGUAGCGGCCGCUCUCGUGGCGCGUGAGCUUGUCGGCUGAAUAAAGCGUAUCGAGCUCUCGCACCAGUUCCCGGCCGUCGCGGGAGCCGGCAGCGAUCAUCAGCUCAAGGAAGCUCGCGGGGCCGCUGGCGAGCCGGUCGGCCACCGACGUCUUGCCGUGGCCGUUGGCCUUCGGCAUCACCGGCGCGGCCGGGAUGCCCCACUCCAGCGAUUGCCGUUUGCCGAACGGGAUGGUGCAGUCGAAGCCGAUCUUGGCGCCGGUGCGCGCGCCCGCGAGCGACGGAUCGAGCGGCACCACGCGGAAGCCCGAGGCCUGGAUGGUGUCGCGGUCGCCCUGGUAGCGGGUCGCCAGCGCCCAGUCGCACUGCUCGUCGGAGAACACAUCGAUGUCGUCGUCGAACACGAACACCUGCUUGCACUCCGCCAUGCUGCCGAACACGGCGGCAAUGGCGUUCCGCGCCUCGCCGGGCACGCGCUGGCGGAUCGAGACGCGGACAUUGUACACACCGCCCGUC